CCGUCACUCCUUUCCCUCCUUCUCCUCCUUCUUUCUCUCCUUUCCCCUUGCUGUGCUGCCAGUGGCUGGUUACUGGCCCCAACCAGCCGCCCACGAGCAACCACCAGCACAGCCGUGUCUUCCUCCUCCCACGAGCAGCACGCAGCAGCCCAGACACCGGCAAUAGGCCGUGUCUCUUCUCCCUCUCAGCAGCAGGCGCACCAAAGGGCUCCACCACCACCAGCCGGUGCACCCGGCUAUCCACCCUCUACCAUCACCACAAUAGCUACCUAUAUUCUCACCCUUUUCUUGUCCCCCCAUUGUUCCCAGUUCAUAAGAGGAAAGUAGAACCUUAGUUGGGUGACCUUUGUAACUUUUGGUCAUGCAGUAACGCUUGCAGGAAAUGCCUCCUCUAUCUAGCAAGCAUUUGAGACAACACUUUUCUAACAAGGCACUACGUGAGCUGGUUAUGGAAUUGGCUGAGGAAGGAGGUCAAAGUCCAAGUCGAUUGCAGAGACAGCUUCCUCCAUGAGUAAGAGAAUCUCUCAGAAUAAACUUCCUACGUACUUAGGGGUUGGGGAACCUACAAUUUUAGAAAGUUGGUUGCAAGAGUUUGACAAACUUUUCAAUGUGGUACAAUGCCUUGAGAACUUAAGGCAGACCAGGCUGCAUUCUACCUUCAAGAAGAGGCAAACUAUUGGUGGUCAAACGCUAGAGAUAGUGUAAUGAGUGAUCUCGAUAAUCCACUGAGUUGGAAAGAAUUCAAGACGCUCACUAGUAGAAAAAUCCUUAUUUGUAUCUCGAUUUUAAACUUAUUUGUAUCUUGUAUUGAAGGUUAUUAAUAAGGGGGUUACAAAUAACACUUAUUAAAACCAAAGAUACAAAUAAUAAUUAUUUGUGUCUUUGGUUUGAAACCAAAAAUACAAAUAAUUGUUAUUUGUAUCCAAACAAGCUUGUAUUCAUUAUAUAAAUAAUAUAUUUGUUAUUAUUAAUUUUUGAUGAUGUAGAUAAUAAAAAUAAUAAAUGAAACAACUAAUAAGAUUAACAAUGAUUUAUAUU